rnacentral:tRNA from 1 species
GGCUUCGUAGCUCAGCCUGGUCAGAGCACGUGACUCUUAAUCACGGUGUCAGGGGUUCAAAUCCCCUCGAGGCCA